rnacentral:rRNA from 1 species
CCUACGGGGGGCAGCAGUAGGGAAUAUUGCUCAAUGGCGGAAACCCUGAACCAGCAAAGCCGCGUGGAGGAUGAAGGCUUUCGGAUUGUAAAAUCCUUUUGUUAGAGAAGAUAAUGACGGUAUAUAACGAAUAAGCAACGGCUAACUCCGGACCAGCAGCCGCCGUAAUACGGAAGGUGCAAGCGUUACUCGGAAUCACUGGGCGUAAAGCGCGCGUAGGCGGGAGAGCAAAUCAGCCGUGAAAACCUAUGGCUUAACCAUAGAACUGCAUUUGAAACUGUUAUUCUAGAGUAUGGGAGAGGUAGGUGGAAUGCUUGGUGUAGGGGUAAAAUCCGUAGAGAUCAAGAGGAAUACUCAUUGCGAAGGCGACCUGCUAGAACAUAACUGACGCUGAUGCGCGAAAGCGUGGGUAGCAAACAGGAUUAGAUACCCCGGUAGUC